rnacentral:rRNA from 1 species
GAUGAACGCUGGCGGCGUGCCUAACACAUGCAAGUCGAACGGAGCUGCUUUGAUGAAGUUUUCGGAUGGAUUUAAAACAGCUUAGUGGCGGACGGGUGAGUAACGCGUGGGUAACCUGCCUCACACUGGGGGAUAACAGUUAGAAAUAGCUGCUAAUACCGCAUAAGCGCACGGUUCCGCAUGGAACAGUGUGAAAAACUCCGGUGGUGUGAGAUGGACCCGCGUCUGAUUAGCCAGUUGGCGGGGUAACGGCCCACCAAAGCGACGAUCAGUAGCCGGCCUGAGAGGGUGAACGGCCACAUUGGGACUGAGACACGGCCCAAACUCCUACGGGAGGCAGCAGUGGGGAAUAUUGCACAAUGGGGGAAACCCUGAUGCAGCGACGCCGCGUGAGUGAAGAAGUAUUUCGGUAUGUAAAGCUCUAUCAGCAGGGAAGAAAGUGACGGUACCUGAAUAAGAAGCCCCGGCUAA